CGGCGGACGGGCGAGUAACGCGUGGGUAACCUGCCUCAUACAGGGGGAUAACAGUUAGAAAUGACUGCUAAUACCGCAUAAGACCACAGGAUCGCAUGAUCCGGUGGUAAAAACUCCGGUGGUAUGAGAUGGACCCGCGUCUGAUUAGCUAGUUGGUGGGGUAACGGCUCACCAAGGCGACGAUCAGUAGCCGACCUGAGAGGGUGACCGGCCACAUUGGGACUGAGACACGGCCCAA
rnacentral:rRNA from 1 species